AACGAUGGAUGCCCGCUUUACGGCCUUCAGGCCGUGAGGCCAAGUGAAAACAUUAAGCAUCCCACCUGGGGAGUACGCCGGCAACGGUGAAACUCAAAGGAAUUGACGGGGGCCCGCACAAGCGGAGGAACAUGUGGUUUAAUUCGAUGAUACGCGAGGAACCUUACCCGGGCUUGAAUUGCAGAUGAAGGAUCCAGAGAUGGUGACGCCCUCCGGGGCAUCUGUGAAGGUGCUGCAUGGCUGUCGUCAG
rnacentral:rRNA from 1 species